UUUAUUUUACCACCUCUCCUUCUUGAAUCAGGAAAUUCCAUAUUCCUAACAGACUCAACCAGAACAAACUCGUUGUCUAAAUUCUUAAACAAAGCAGAACGUACCUUAUAAGAGGAGUUUUAAGCCUUCUCAGAGUAAAAAGACCCAGUUCCUUCCCCCUCACUCGCAUAUAUGAACAAAUCAUCUGAGUUCUCAAAAUCUUGGGCUUCGUUUGACUUCAAUUUUUUGUUCAAUUUCUUUGAAAUAGCACCAGUUGCCACCGUUUUGCGAGCAAGCAUUUUUACCCCCCUUCUCUUAGGUUAAGGGGUUAUGCUGGGUGGAGGAAGGUUGGAUGAAUCUGAGGGUGUGGGUUGAGGAGGAGUGUCUGGGUUAUCUUGUGGAUUAGUCAUCUCGAAAUUCUAGAAGAGAAUUUGUGAAUUGGGAUUUUGGAAGAGAGAAGAAUAGAGUGCAGAAGAAAUUC
rnacentral:lncRNA from 1 species